AGAUCAGAAAUGCUUAGGAGGUAACAUUUUCUGGCAGCCUCCCUCAACCAGCCACUGAGGGAAGCUGGUGAGAAAAUAACCCAACUGCCUCACCCCUUAGUUGGGACAAUGCUGAAGUGUAUUCUACUGUUAGUCAGAGUUCCCCAGAGGGAUUGGUCGCUACUUCUCCAUAUUAGUAACAUGAGAUCACCUGCUGAAUCAACUCUUUACUUCCGCCAUAUCCUUGUCCCAGUAUGUUUUUGAGGGAACUCAACCUAAGCUAGCCAUCAAGGGCCCGGUUUCACCCUUUCCAUCACCUUUCUCCCUACAACUCCUGCUUCAAUCACUCAAGGAGCAACAAGUCUCAGAAAAACUGUCUAAGGUGGGCAUGGGAGCAUUCCCUGCCUUCCCUCUUCUGGCUUGUCCUCACUACAGCCCAUCUGUAACCUCAUUCCCUACCUCCAGUCCCUCCCUCACCCCGAACUCCCACCUGUAAGCCACCACCUGUCCUGGAAAUAACACCUAUCGCUAAUUCUUGUUCUAAAAUAUGGAGCUGCCUUGAUAAAACAGCAGAUGGAAAAGAGAGGUACAGAUCAACUUCCUGCAUACAUCCUUUCUCAAUUCACCGAGAUCAGAAUUUCCAAGGAACAUCCGGAUAUCCAGACAUUUCCUUUGAUUGUCACAGCUGUGAUACAAAUAAGGUCAUCAAGGCACAGAGAGUUGUAUCAAUGUACCAAGAUCAUUUGGAAGAUUGAACAGUUUGACUCCAUGUGUGAAGAAGAAGGUGGAUAGAACAGAUGCUUGUAUCUGAUGAGAUGCUUGGGAAGACUUUGGUGGGCUGGAUACUUUCCUCAGUAAAAAUUACAAAAUAGAACACACAUAUAGGAAAGCAUAUAAAAUAUGUAUGACUUUCAGAGAAUAAUAAUAAAGUGAACAUACAUAUUACGAUUACUCAAAAUCAGAAUAAAGGCCAUUGCCCAUAGUCUACCAGCUUCAUGGAUGUCUUUGAAUGCCCCUACCUUUAAGGAUUACCAUUACCCUACCCUUUAUGGUAGUUAUUCUUUCAGUUUUCUUAAUAGUUUAUCACUAAUGUAGGUACCACUGAAAAUACUAUUGAGUUUUUCCUGUUUUUAAAUGUUGUACAAUUUUAGCUCAUAUAUUCCUUUGUGUCUUUUCUUUGAUGCAACACUAUGGUGGUAAAAUUUGUUCAUAUUGUUGGAUAUGGCUGUAGUUCAUUAAUUAUCAUUGCUGAGUAGUGUUCUAUUGUGUGAUAUAGUACUAUGUACUUAUUAAUUCUAGUGUUGAUGACCAUAUGGAAAGUUUCCAAUAUGUGGCUAUCGCAAAUAAUGCUGCUGUGGAUAUUUAAUUGAAUCUCCUGCUAUACACAUGGAAGUGUUUUGUGUAUAUAUGCCAAACUGUGGGUCUGUAUGCCAUUAUAACUGUAUUGUAUAUUGUUACAAGUGUAUUAUAUAUUGUUAUAAUUAUGCCAUAUAUGAUUAAAACUAUGCUGUAUAGUA